rnacentral:lncRNA from 1 species
CGCGUUGUUCGUACCGUAAAACCCUCAACUUUGGAUUGAAAUUAUUCGGAAACGGUACGGUGGAGCAUACUACACUCAGCGAGGGAAGAUUUCGACAGCUCAUGAAAAAUAUUGUGCUCCUGGACGGUAAAUGCAUUUCGGUUACCGACAAUAUUCUGUCGUAUUUAGCAUCACGAAAGCAAUGGAUAAUGCAGAGCAAUAUUUACCAUAGUAGAGUACAACUGCUGGUGGUCGAAAGCCUUUUUAUAAAAAAAUAUGUAUUGAUGAUAGAACAUGAUUCAUGGGGUCCUCUAUUAACGAUUAUACCCAAACUACAACAUCAUAUACGUUUUUAUUUUGUCACAAAUCAUCGAUUUAUUACAUACAAGACAAUAACUAAUUCACGAAACACGUAUCAAUGUCUUUGAUUCCUAUUCGAUUCGUUAUUCGACAAAGAAACUACAUGUGCGCAUCAUUGGCAAAAAUCUUUAAAAUGAAGAUACUCUUCUUAUUACACGUAGUAUUUUCACUCCGUUGUCUGUCAAUAUCGCAUCUAGUAUAUCGAAGCUAAAGACAUGUGUACAUACUUCAUGAAUUAUAAUAGAUCGACGUCAAUUCUUGUUCGUGUUUUGAAUUUAAUAUCAUUAAAAAAAAUCAGAUAUAUUGUCCAUUAUU